rnacentral:piRNA from 1 species
AGUGGGAAGACUUCUAGGUAGAG